rnacentral:rRNA from 1 species
CCUACGGGUGGCUGCAGUGAGGAAUAUUGGUCAAUGGUCGGGAGCCUGAACCAGCCAAGCCGCGUGAAGGAGGACUGUCCAACGUAUCGUAAACCUCUUUUGUCAGGGAACAAAGAGUGGCACGCGUCCCCUUCUGUGUGUACCUUACGAAUAAGCAUCGGCUAACUCCGUGCCAGCAGCCGCGGUAAUACGGAGGAUCCGAGCGUUAUCCGGAUUUAUUGGGUUUAAAGGGGGCGCAGGCGGGCUGUUAAGUCAGCUGUGAAAGCCUGGGGCUCAACCGUAGACUGGCCGUUGAGACUGGCAGCCUGGAGUAGGGGUGAAGUAGGCGGAAUGCGUGGUGUAGCGGUGAAAUGCAUAGAUAUCGCGAAGAACUCCGAUUGCGAAGGCAGCAUGC